rnacentral:rRNA from 1 species
ACAGCAGUCGCCACGGUAAUACGAAGGGUGCAAGCGUUAAUCGGAAUUACUGGGCGUAAAGCGUGCGUAGGCGGUGAGUUAAGUCUGCUGUGAAAUCCCCGGGCUCAACCUGGGAAUGGCAGUGGAUACUGGCUCGCUAGAGUGUGUCAGAGGAUGGUGGAAUUCCCGGUGUAGCGGUGAGAUGCGUAGAGAUCGGGAGGAACAUCGGUGGCGAAGGCGGCCAUCUGGGACAACACUGACGCUGAGGCACGAAAGCGUGGGGAGCAAACAGGAUUAGAUACCCCCGUAGUCCCUGUCUCUUAUAC